rnacentral:misc_RNA from 1 species
GAUGAAGAACGCAGCAAAAUGCGAUAAGUAAUGCGAAUUGCAGAAUUUCCGUGAAUCAUCGAAUCUUUGAACGCACAUUGCGCCCGCCAGUAUUCUGGCGGGCAUGCCUGUUCGAGCGUCAUUACAACCCUCAGGCCCCCGGGCCUGGCGUUGGGGAUCGGCGGAAGCCCCCUGCGGGCACAACGCCGUCCCCCAAAUACAGUGGCGGUCCCGCCGCAGCUUCCAUUGCGUAGUAGCUAACACCUCGCAACUGGAGAGCGGCGCGGCCACGCCGUAAAACACCCAACUUCUGAAUGUUGACCUCGAAUCAGGUAGGAAUACCCGCUGAACUUAAGCAUAUCAAUAAGCGGAGGA